AGGGACACGUCAGGCCAUGGAAAGGGAGGGGCCCAGACCAGCACUGGCACACCACUCACCUCCGCUCCCAUAGGUUUCCGUGGUUACUGACUCUGAGCCCCGAAGUUUCCUCUUCACACGGGCGUCUCGCUCCCUGGGGAUGGGCAGUGGUGAUGAUGAUGAUGGUGAUGAUGGUGAUGAUGGUGAUGAUGGCAAUAACAGUACUUACCAGGUGCCAAGCCUUGCGCCCUGCCAGGGUCCCACCCUAUCGGGGCAGCAUGUGAUCCAAGUCCAGCUUGUCUCCCUCUGCCCAUGUCUACUAUCAUCACCUGGCAGCAUCUCUCUGGAAUCUUCACCUGCUUCACUUACCCAUCUUCCGGAAGUCCUCCCUGACUCCCAUCAGCCAUCAGUUACCCUUUCCCAUCGAGGGACCUUUCAGGGGCUGUGGUUUGAUUUCUUUCCUGGAACCAGGCCUGCUGCACAGCUGCUGCCGAGUAAGGACUUGUUGGUUCAGGAAGGGAAUCAACUACUGCCAUGUGGCUGACUCAGCAGGGCCCG